UUGUGUUAGGGAUUGUAACGGCAUCCUUUUUGCUUUUCGCAAAAAGAUAUAGUGCAAAGCCCGACCUUUU
rnacentral:sRNA from 1 species